AACGAACGCUGGCGGCAGGCCUCAAACAUGCAAGUCUAGGGGGUGCAGCAAUGCAUCACCGGCGGACGGGUGCGUAACGCGUGGGAAUAUACCUUUUGGUUCGGAACAACUGCGGGAAACUGCAGCUAAUACCGAAUGUGCCCUAACGGGGAAAGAUUUAUCGCCAAAGGAUUAGCCCGCGUAGGAUUAGCUAGUUGGUGAGGUGAUGGCUCACCAAGGCUCCGAUCCUUAGCUGCUGAGAGGAAGAUCAGCCACACUGGGACUGAGACACGGCCCAGACUCCUACGGGAGGCAGCAGUUGGGAAUCUUGGACAAUGGGGGAAACCCUGAUCCAGCCAUGCCGCGUGAGUGAUGAAGGCCUU
rnacentral:rRNA from 1 species